UACGAAGGGGGCUAGCGUUGCUCGGAAUCACUGGGCGUAAAGCGCACGUAGGCGGCUUUUUAAGUCAGGGGUGAAAUCCUGGAGCUCAACUCCAGAACUGCCUUUGAUACUGGGAAGCUUGAGUUCGGGAGAGGUGAGUGGAACUGCGAGUGUAGAGGUGAAAUUCGUAGAUAUUCGCAAGAACACCCGUGGCGAAGGCGGCCCCCUGGGCCGUACCUGACGCUGAGGCGCGAAGGCUAGGGGAGCGAACGGG
rnacentral:rRNA from 1 species